AACGAACGCUGGCGGCAUGCCUAACACAUGCAAGUCGAACGAGACCUUCGGGCCUAGUGGCGCACGGGUGCGUAACGCGGGGGAAUCUGCCCUUGGGUUCGGAAUAACAGUUGGAAACGACUGCUAAUACCGGAUGAUGACGUAAGUCCAAAGAUUUAUCGCCCAAGGAUGAGCCCGCGUAGGAUUAGCUAGUUGGUGAGGUAAAGGCCCACCAAGGCGACGAUCCUUAGCUGGUCUGAGAGGAUGAUCAGCCACACUGGGACUGAGACACGGCCCAGACUCCUACGGGGGGCAGCAGUGGGGAGUAUUAGACGAUGGGCGAAAGCCUGAUCCAGCAGUGCCGCGUGAGUGAUGAAGGCCUUAGGGUUGUAAAGCUCUUUUACCCGGGAUGAUAAUGACGGUACCGGGAGAAUAAGCUCCGGCUAACUCCGUG
rnacentral:rRNA from 1 species